ACACAUGCAAGUCGAGGGGCAGCAUCAUCAAAGCUUGCUUUGAUGGAUGGCGACCGGCGCACGGGUGAGUAACACGUAUCCAACCUGCCGACAACACUGGGAUAGCCUUUCGAAAGAAAGAUUAAUACCGGAUGGCAUAAUUAUUCCGCAUGGGAUAAUUAUUAAAGAAUUUCGGUUGUCGAUGGGGAUGCGUUCCAUUAAGCAGUUGGCGGGGUAACGGCCCACCAAACCUACGAUGGAUAGGGGUUCUGAGAGGAAGGUCCCCCACAUUGGAACUGAGACACGGUCCAAACUCCUACGGGAGGCAGCAGUGAGGAAUAUUGGUCAAUGGACGAGAGUCUGAACCAGCCAAGUAGCGUGAAGGAUGACUGCCCUAUGGGUUGUAAACUUCUUUUAUACGGGAAUAAAGUGAGCCACGUGUGGCUUUUUGUAUGUACCGUAUGAAUAAGGAUCGGCUAACUCCGUGCCAGCAGCCGCGGUAAUACGGAGGAUCCGAGCGUUAUCCGGAUUUAUUGGGUUUAAAGGGAGCGUAGGCGGGUUGUUAAGUCAGUUGUGAAAGUUUGCGGCUCAACCGUAAAAUUGCAGUUGAUACUGGCGACCUUGAGUGCAACAGAGGUAGGCGGAAUUCGUGGUGUAGCGGUGAAAUGCUUAGAUAUCACGAAGAACUCCGAUUGCGAAGGCAGCUUACUGGAUUGUAACUGACGCUGAUGCUCGAAAGUGUGGGUAUCAAACAGGAUUAGAUACCCUGGUAGUCCACACAGUAAACGAUGAAUACUCGCUGUUGGCGAUAUACAGUCAGCGGCCAAGCGAAAGCAUUAAGUAUUCCACCUGGGGAGUACGCCGGCA
rnacentral:rRNA from 1 species